UUCUUUGGUUAUUAUACUGCCGGGGAAGACUAUUUCACUCACUCUACUGGGGAUUACUUGGACUUCAGGGAUAAUAAGCUUCCAGCAAGAAACUAUACUGGAGAAUAUUCUGCUAACACAUUCGGCCAGAGAGCCGUUGACAUCAUCCAUCGUCAUGAUGUAUCACAGCCGCUGUUUAUG